CUUCGGGUUGCUGGCGGUUACAAGGCCGCCCACACGGGUUGCCGCUUUAGACCUGAUUUCGGGACCAAGGGCGAGAGCGACCUCUCAGGCCUAGCCAAUUCGGUUCUGUGGUAUCAAAAACACCAAAGAUAAGAAACUCUUAUGUGCAGUUGUACGACUAUGAAAAGUGGGGACCACUGUCCACCUGCCCCUGUCCUGGAGUCCAAGGGCAUGGAGUCUAUCACUGGAGUCAGUACUUUCAGGCUUCAGCUGAGUUUGGCCAGUGGAGAGGAAGCACAGACAUGAAUCUGCAAGAUGGGAAAAGAGUGAGGUCAGUAUAUUAAUUCAUCUGGGUUUCUACCUGAAAGGUCACUUUGGACUAUCUGUUGGGCUGCUUCUUAGGAAGUCUCUACUCCUCCAAAAGUGACCUACUCUAUAUGACUCACUUUUAAAUGUUCUAACUUCUCCCUUCUUUGGGUCAAGGGAUUGUAAUAUAUUUAAAAGUACUAGAUUCAUUCAUUCCCUUCAGUUCCCUAUACCCUGGCCCACACCCUUUUUUAUUCCUUUUAACUGAGGUAUAGUUGAUGUACAAUAAAAUAUCUCAGGUGUACAACAUAGUGACUCACAAUUUUUAAAGGUUAUAUUCCCUGUAUUAUGCAAUAUUAACUUGUAGCUUAUUUAUGCAUAAUAGUUUGUACCUCUUAAUUCCCUGCCCCUUUCUUGUCCCUCCCUCUUCCCUCUCCCCAUUGCUAACCACUAGUUUGUUCUCUAUAUCUAUGUCUUACUUUUUUUUGUUAUAUUUACUAGUUUUAUUUUUUAGAUUCCACAUAUAAGUGAUAUCAUACAGUAUUUGUCUUUCUCUGUCUGACUUAUUUCACUUAGUAUAAUACUCCCCAAGUCCAUCCAUGUUGCUGCAAAUGGCAAAAUUUCAAUCUUUUUCUAUGGCUGAGAUAUAUAUAUAUAUAUAUAUAUAUAUACCACAUCUUUUAUAUCCAUUCACCUAUUGAUGGAUACUUAGGUUGCUUCUAUAUCUUGGCAUUUGUAAUUAAUGCUGCUAUGAACAUUGAGAUGUAUGUAUUUUUUUAAAUUAGUGUUUUCAGGUUUUUUUGGAUAGAUUCCUGGAGCAGAAUUGCUAGGUCAUAUUUUCAGGUUUUUUUUUUUUUUUUAAACCUCCAUAAUGUUCUCUGCAGGUCCACACUCUUAAUUGGUCCCUUGGAGGUGGUGAUGGUGGACAUUAAAAGUACCUUAACUGGAGUUCCCAUCAUGGUGCCAGUGGUUAACAAACACGACUAGGAACCAUGAGGUUGCGGGUUUGAUCCCUGGUCUCACUCAGUGGGUUAAGGAUCUGGCGUUGCUGUGAACUUCCAUUUCCAGAUCGCAGAUGUGGCUCGAAUCCUGUGUUGCUGUGUCUCUGGCAUAGGCCAGUGGCUACAGCUCCGAUUAGACCCCUGGCCUGGAAGCCUCCAUAUGCCAUGGGUAUGGCCCUAGAAAAGACCCCCCAAAAAAUAAAAUAAAAUACCUUAACUGGAGGAGUUCCCUCCAUGGCACAGUGGAUUAAGAAUCUGACUGCAGUGGCUUAGGUCCCUACAGAGGUGUGGGUUCAAUCCCUGGCCUAGCACACUGGGUUAAAGGAUCUGGUAUUGCUGCAGCUGCACUGUAGGUCACAUCUACAGCUUGGAUUCAAUCCCUGGCCCAGGAACUUCCAUAUGCCACUAGUGUGGCCAUAAAAAGAAAAAAAAAAUGUACCUUAACUGGAGGUUUUCUGUUAUAAUCUCUAAUGCUAUUUUGAAAAGAACUAUAUGCUAAAAGAACAGAACUAAAUUUCCAUUGACUAAAACACACUUCACAUUGUGGUUUGUUACUUAAACUAGCCAUAUUUAGAAGGAUGUGCUCUUUCUUUUCAAUAGAAUCAAAGAUUUUUACUGUGGUAAUCUAUUUCAGUGAUCAUUCUCUUUAACAAAUGAGAAAAUGAUUUGGACGAGGACAUGUAAUCAAUGAGUAACAGUGUUAGAGUUUAAAUUUCCCAUGUGCUUCCUUUUUAGCCAAUUUUCUUUACACUUCAACUCUCCCUCUUUUAUUUCUCUGGAGGCUUCCCCAUUCACUUUGUCCAGAGAAUAAUCCUUGUCCUUCCUUCAGUGAGUGCCUUGGUUCUUUGGAAUACCUGAUGGUUCAAAUAGGAGUGGGAACCUGGAAUUCUCACUAAAGACUUGACAUUUAUCCCUGUUUUCAGUCACAUGCCUUACAGUCAUGCCUUCUGUAAUUGGUCUUUCUUAUUGCUCAACUUUUUUUUUCUUUUUCCCAGAGUGUUUUUGGAUCGAUUCACCUCAGAUUUCUCCACUAUUAGGGGUCAAAUUUCCUGAUGACAGUGUCAACUUACAACUUCCAUUUCCACUUACAACUUGCUCUGCAAAACAAAAUUUAAAGGUUUAAAAUAACUACAGUCACUUUACUAUUUCUCAGUUUCUGUAGGACAGGAAUUCUGAAAUACUUUAGUUGGAAAACUUGAGUUCUGGCUCAGAAUCUAUCACGCCAUUACAGUCAGAAUCAAUUAGAGUUGGAAGAAUGGGAACUAGAGCAAUUAGGAGCUAGCUAGUCAUCUCUCCCUGAGAAGUCCCAGGACUUCUCUAUAUGGUCUGUCCCUCUGAUUUGGGUUGAGCUUUCUUACUGUAUUGGCUGCUUUAAAGCAGUCAAGCUGCUUUGAUGGUAGUUUCAACCUCAACAGUGAAAAUUCCAGUGAGCAAAGUGUAAGCUGUAUCACUUUUUAUAGCCUAGUUUGAAAGUCACAUAAUGUCACUUCUACCAUAUUCUUUUGACCAAAACAUUCUCAAAAACCCACUCAGUUUCAUGGGGAAGGGGUAGAGAUGCUACCUCUCAAUGGGAGGAAUAUCAAAGCCACAUUGUAAGAGCAUAUGGAGUGGAAGAUUUUGUUGCAGCCAUUUUGGGGCGGUAGAAGUUGCAUCACAACUCCUACAUCUAAUUUCUUCACUUUUUUUGUAUGACCAAGGGUUUUUAAGUUAUGAAAUACAUCAUACAAAAAGGUAUAGAGAGUAAUAUAAUAGACACUUUUGUCUUCACCACCUUGCUUUAGAAAUAAAACAUUUCAAAUAGUUAACACCCCUUUCUGCUUACAUUUCUGUUUCUCUCCCUUUUACAAAGAGAUAAACAUUGUCUUAAUAUUUAUUAUUGUCAUGCCUAUCUUUAUAACGUUAAUAUAUGUAUCUCUAAACAGUAGUAAAUACGAAGUCUUUUUAAGCUUCCUAUAACAUGAUUUUUUUUAUAACAUUAAAACUUUUGAAACUCAGUGUUACUCUUCUGAGAUUCAUUUGUAUUGAUGUAUAGCCAUAAGGCUCAGAUAGUAAAUAUGUUAGGCUUUGUGGGCAGACAGACUUUGUUGCAACUGCUUAUUCUGCAGUUGUAGUACAACAGCAGCUCUUCUAAAUAUGUAAAUGAAUGGUGCACCCAUGUUCCAAUACAACUUUAUAAAAAUAGAUGGCAGAGAACAGCAUUAGGCCUGUGGGCCAUAGUUUGCUGACCCUAGAUCUGGUAUAAAAUUUAUGAUACUUUAGAUAGCUUGUGUUCCCUGAAAGUUGUUUUAGCUUAUAACCCAGUCCCAACCCCAUCCUUAGCAUAUUUCUCUGCCUUAGGAAGAAAUUUUAGAGACACUGAUUUAGGAAUACAACUGACUGAUUUACUAAAUUUUGAUGUUUAAAAAGCCCCACUGGACUCAAUUUUUCAUUUUUUAUUCUUGAGGGGAAAGCCCAGCAAACUCCUGCCUUUAGACCCCUUUAGAAAUCCUCUCUUGAACUCAUACUGGCUCUUUUCUACAUGCCUUGUCUGCCUAGAAAAUUUCAGUUUAUAUAUCAAGAUUUCCCACGAAUGUCUCUUCCUUCAGGAUACCUUUCCUGGUACCUCCCAGCCAAAGGAAGGCUUUUCCAGUAUUCCCAUACUUAGUUGGUAUCUCUAACACAACUCAGAGACUUAAUUAUUUGUUUGCAUGACUGUCUUCCCCAUUAAAUUUUUAUUCCCUAGGGAAUGAAGACUUAUUCUGUUUAUCUUCGUUUCCAACACAAAACUCAGUGCUUGGAACCUAGAUGUACUUAACAAGUAGUUAUGGAAGGAUGGAAAGGAGGGAGGGAGGAACUAGUAUUCCAGUGUCUACUUGGAACAAGAAGCAAAUUUGCAUAAUAUGCAGGCCUCUGAAAGUGAAGAUACCCCUCUUCAUCUUUCUACCCCAUCUUACCAGAGAGCAUUCCUUCAUGCCUUCUCACCUCCCCUUUGCAGGGAGGCAGAUAAAUCACAUUGUCUUUUAAAAGAUAGUUAUAAUUUUUUCAUAGGAAGCACUUUAUUGUACAUUUCCUUGUGAACUAAAUUCCUAGGUUCUAAGGUGUUGAAUAUCCUCAAAACUACUACUAUUUAUGAAGAAAGACAGGAAAACCAAGGUGAGGAGUUCCCACUGUGUCUCAGCAGGUUAAGGACCCAGCUUUGUCUCUGUGAAGAAGUGAGUUUGAUCCCUGGCCUUGCUCAGUGGGUUAAGGAUUGGUGUUGCCACAAGCUGUGGUGUAGGUCGCAGAUGUGGUUCGGAUUCAGUAUCAUCAUCACUGUGACUGCAUGAAUAAAAAAUACUAUAUAACUGAUCCAUAUCCAUUUACUAAUUUGUAUGUAGAUUUAAUAAAGUUAAAUAGCAUGAUGGAAGGAAAUGGGCUCUAGAAUUAGAAAGACCUGAAUUUGAAUCCAGGUUCUGCUCAUUACCAGCAUUAUGGCAUUGAGCACCUAUUUGAUUUCUCUUAGCUUUGAGUUCUGUAUCUGAAAAGGGUAUAGUAAUACCUCUCAUAGUGCCACAAGAACAAAUUCAGUCAGUCUUAUUACAUCGGCACUCAGUAAUGGUUCAAUCCCCAGCCUGGCGCAAUGGGUUAAGGAUGAGGAGUUGCUGCAGCUGUGGUGUAGAUCACAACUGUGGUGUAGUUUGCAGAUGUGGCUCAGAUUUGAUCCCUGGCUCGAGAAUUUCCAUAUGCUGUGGGUGAGGCCAUACACAAAAUCUGGUUGAAAGUAAAGAGAAGCUAAACUAAAAAGCUUCUUAACUGUUCUGCAGGGCUCCUGACUUAAGGAUAUUGAAAAGAGAUUGGUUGGAAAAGGUAUGGUACCUACACACACGUGUGUGAAUAUGUAUGCAUGUGUGUGUAUAUGCUCUGUGCACAUAUGUGGUGCAUGUAUGAAUGCACAUGAAUGUGUAUAUAUGUGCACGUGUGUUUUCUGCUAGAUUUUCAUAGGAGGGGUGAGGAGGCAUAUCUUUCCUCCAAAAUAGCAAAGGUCUUGUGAAAUGCUGUAUGCUUUUAGUUCCAAAAUUCUACCGAAGAUCCCAAGGACCUGGGUAAAUGUUCAGCUUCAGAUGAAUCUUUCUAGGUGGAGGUGAGGCAUAAGGUAUAGAUCCUAGAACUAGUACACCACUCUUGUGUUAGGGAGUAGUUUAUUUCUAAAGCAGAAUUAGCAUCACACUGUAAACAACAAAAAAAAAGGGGGAUAAAAGUGAAAUUUGAAGGAAGAGAGUGGAAGCAAGUCUAGGAACUAAGGUGCUGACUCAAGGGGACCCUUAUUUCUGUUCCUUUGGACCUAUAGCAUCUAGUUCUAUGUUUUAUCCUACAUUGUAAUUCACUCUCUCUUUCCCACAGUUUUUCAAAGCACAGUACCCAUUCUGCAGCUUGAUGUUAAUAGUGUUGUGGGAACAGUGGGCAGGGAAUAAACAGACAAGGUAGUAAACAGAACAGCAGCCUUACCACCUCAGCUCUUCCUGAAGCCAAUGUAACUGGAACAACAGGGUGUGAAGGUGUAAAGAAGGAGAUUCACAAGGCCACUAGUGGUGAACUAAACCACACCUCAUUAUGGAGGUAGUGGUGAAGAGUUAUGUGACCUCAGAGAACCUGCUGCAGCUUGAACAGAAGAAGGAGGGGAUGAGAGAUCAACCCCCUGAAGUGAGGCAGGGUGAGAAAGGUAGAGGAGUGCAAGCAUAUACUUGGCUCACAGUGCGGUAUAGGAUCUUUGAUAAAGAAACUGGAAUGACACAUGAAUGAUUGAGAGCUAAUGGAUUUUUUUUUCAUGUGCUGAAAUAUGUGUAUAAUUUUAUUUUACUUCUUUUUAUGUGUAAUUUAUUUAUUUUGGAAUGGGAAUGGUAGUAACCUUCACAUAGUUCAUAAUUCAAAAAAGUAUUCAAUUAUACACAGUGAAGACGCCCUCCCAUCUACAUGCUCCAGCCACACAGUUCCUCUUCCAGAGGCAUCAGCAUCAUCAACUUACUUCCUUUCCUUAGGGAAAUACACAAGCAAAUUUGCAUAAGGCAUCCUCCCCACAAUCUUUUAUUUAUAUAAAUGAUAACUCACUAUUCUGCUUUUCUCACAAAAUAUAUUUUAGAGAUCAUUCCGUACCAGUAUGCUUUUGAAUAACUUUAAAAAGUCAAAAUUAAGAGCCAAAAUGCAUUUGCAUUUAACUUCAUGAUAUCAUGAGAUUAUGGGGACAAAUUAAAGCAAAGUACAAAUUUUUAAAAGUGGUAUUAUAAUCAAUAUAUUCCUUAAAAAUUUCAAUUACUUUGAAUUAUUCAUAGAUCCAUGAGGGGAAAUAAUGGUUUAGAAAUGAAUGUGAUUGAAAUUGGUGCAUAUUUUCAGCAACUUUAUGCAAAGUCAGCAAAUAUGCUAAAUGAAUUAUAAUUCUCAAAAAGGUCAAAAAAACUCAAGGAACGUGAAUGUAAUUGAGGCAGGGUCAUAGCCUUGUCAGAUUUUGUAUUCAGUAACUUUAGCAAAGCAACUGUUAAAAUAUUGCUUGAAGGUUUUUACAUGUCCCAUAGUUUUGGAAUCUAAGUAGAAAUAGAAUAGAUGCCCCUGAAUGUGUCCUUUGAAACAGAAAGUCCAAUUUGGCCGAUACUAGAGGUAGUAGUGCUUUACAGAGGGAGUAUGAUUUUAAUCUAUCUUUUCUGGGUCCAGCCCCAAUCCAUAUAUAGUGUUUAAGUUGGUAACUCUGAAUUUGGCAGUCAGUUUAACCAUGAUGUAGUCGUUAAAGUAUUUAGACUACAUGGUCAUUGUAUUUGCUCUUGUGUAUAGACUAGUUUAUUAUUUUCUGUUGAUUUAUUUGCAAGAUUCCCAAAGUGUUUUUUUUUUUUUAUAUAUCAUUGAAAGGAAAGUAUCUAUGACUUGAAAAUACUUGGUGAUUUAAAUAAUUCAGAUGUUGUAUUAGUUUGAUGGGGUUGCCAUAACAAAAUACUACAAGCUUGAAUGGCUUAAAUAACAGAAAUUUAUUUUCUCACAGUUUGGAGGAUGGGAGUCCAAGAUCAAGGUAUCUGCAGAUGUGGUUUCUCCUGAGUCUCUCUCCUUGGCCUUCAGAAAGCUGUCUUCUCACUAAGUGUUCACAUGGUCUUCUUUCUCUAUGUGUGCAUCCUGGUGUUUCUUCCUUUUCUUAUGAGGAUAUCAUGUUGGAUUAGGGUCUUACCCUUAUGACCUAUUUAAUCUUAAUUACCUCUUUAAAGGCUUUAUCUCAAAAUAUUGUCACAUUGGGGGUUAGGGCUUCAAUAUAUGAAUUUUGGAGGAGGGGGAUAUAAUUCAUUCUGUGGGAUAAUGCUGCAAUCAUGAACUUGUAAUAGUCUCAUUACCCACUUUCCUUUUAAGAUUACAACUUACUAUUAAUUACAAAUAGCAAAACACCUUAAGUAAAGGAUGCAUUGCUAUUUAAAAAACCUGAAACUAAAUUUUACCUCAGCCAGGUAUGGCCUCAAAUUGCUAAGAGCUGAAUUAAUUAUAACCACAUGUUGGAUAUUAAUCUUAGAAAAUUGAGUUAUCUAAAUUCUUAGUAAGAUCAUUGGCCAAUAGAUAACAAAAAACAACUGCAUAGGAAAAAAAAAAAAACCUGUGAGUAAGAAUACAAGGAUGUGAUCUUUUUUUACUUUGAAAAAAAAAAAAACAAAACUAAGAGAGUUGUUUUUUCAGAGUUCCUUUUUUCCUUUUAACAGAUCACAUUAAAUCCUAAAAUAGUCCAAGUACAGAAUUUUGCUUUCUAAGCUAGAGAGUUAAGAUGAAAUGUUUUUCCUUAAAAAACAAAGAACUCAAUCAUUCAUAUCAAUAAUUUCUGAAAAUAUGUAGUGAGAAAAGAGUUUUGUAUGCAUAAUGAAGAUAUAGAAGCUAUAUGUAUGUUGUAUCUUAAGAAUAGCUAUUGGUUUUAGAAAGAGAAGAAAAAAUGUACUGAGACAAAUUGUUUUGAAAGGUAAUUGUUCUGAUUUGGCUUUCCUGAUGUGAUUGCAAGAGAAGAAGCCUGUGGUUGCUUGGUUAGUUUGUAAAGCUGGAAUAGCUCUUGUGUGCUGGCAAGUUUUGGUGUGCUUUUUCUGAGAAAUUUUCCCUAUUUUAAAAAUCCAAACCUUUCAUUAGGGUUUAAAAUAUGAUAUCAUGAUCACAUAAAGUUAGAGACAUAAAAGAACUUUUUAAUUUACUUUUCAAAAUCAGUUAGAAAGAGUUACUGUCUGUUCCUUUUCUCCAAUAACUAUAAGCACAUAUAUUAUCCACUGUAAAUGUCUUGAUUUUUGUUGAAAAUCCAGGUAAGAUAUUUUUGUUAUUGCUGCUCAGUGAUCUUUUUGAGAAAAAAAAA
ensembl:lncRNA